CAGGUCCCGCAGCAAUGCGGGAUGCUGGCGACCGGCAAACGGGUGCGGAACACGUACACAACCUUCCUUUAAGUGGGGAAUAGCCCAGGGAAACUUGGAUUAAUACCCCGUAACAUAUAGAAGAGGCAUCUCUUUCAUAUUAUAGCUACGGCGCUUGAAGAUGGGUGUGCGGCUGAUUAGGUAGUUGGCGGGGUAACGGCCCACCAAGCCUACGAUCAGUAACUGGUGUGAGAGCACGACCAGUCACACGGGCACUGAGACACGGGCCCGACUCCUACGGGAGGCAGCAGUAAGGAAUAUUGGUCAAUGGACGCAAGUCUGAACCAGCCAUGCCGCGUGGAGGAUGAAGGUCCUCUGGAUUGUAAACUUCUUUUAUCUGGGACGAAAAAAGGGAAUUCUUUCUCACUUGACGGUACCAGAUGAAUAAGCACCGGCUAACUCCGUGCCAGCAGCCGCGGUAAUACGGAGGGUGCAAGCGUUAUCCGGAUUCACUGGGUUUAAAGGGUGCGUAGGUGGGCUUGUAAGUCAGUGGUGAAAUCUCCGGGCUUAACCCGGAAACUGCCAUUGAUACUAUAAGUCUUGAAUACCAUGGAGGUGAGCGGAAUAUGUCAUGUAGCGGCGAAAUGCUUAGAUAUGACAUAGAACACCAAUUGCGAAGGCAGCUCGCUACGCGGUUAUUGACACUGAGGCACGAAAGCGUGGGGAUCAAACAGGAUUAGAUACCCUGGUAGUCCACGCCCUAAACGAUGGAUACUCGACAUCAGCGAUACACUGUUGGUGUCUGAGCGAAAGCAUUAAGUAUCCCACCUGGGAAGUACGACCGC
rnacentral:rRNA from 1 species